rnacentral:lncRNA from 1 species
AGUACGAUUUAAUUGUUUAAGAUGGAGCAGCAAAAACAAAGACAUAAAUAGCCACAGAUUCCCGGAAUCAAACUCACAAGUUCAAGAAAUCAACUACGACAAGCUUAAAACACUAGCAAAUACUUAGAUAGGCCAUCCUAUCUAUUGGGGCGCGCUCCAGUGAGACCCCCUAUUUUUCGUGAGACACUAAGUACAAUGAAUAAAACAUAUAUACUGAUGAACAAGAGCCACAAGACAAUAUAUACUGAUGAAUAACAAAAUUUAAAAAAUUGGUAAUGAAUAAGACAUAUAAAUUGAUGAACAAGGCAGUAUAUACUGAUGAAUAACGAAAUUUAAAAUAUUUCACUCCCUCCACAAUUCGAAUCCUAAGAAAAAAAAUUCUCUCUCUAGAUACAAUAUCAGCCAUAGAAUUGAUAAAAUAAACGCACGAGAUCGUGCCUCGGGUCUCACCAAAUAUAGGGGGUGUGGGUUAGAAUAAAAACACUCUUAAGUGUAUAUAAUAUAAACGUUUCUUAAUGUACGAAUUUUAUGUAGACCACAUAUGAAUUUAUCCAACAGAGUUACGAAUUGCGAAAAAUAAAUUUUAGUUACCUUUGAGAUUCGAACUCAGGACCACGAAUUCAUCCAACAGGGUUACGAAUCAACCGAUGAUCUAAAGGCUGAAAAUCAUUUAUAUUUUAUACACUUAAGAGUGUUUUUAUUCUAGCCUCCCCUAUAUAUAUAUAUAUAUCCUUAUGAUUAGGAUUUCUCUAAUACCAUCCUAUUAAUGAUAUAUGAAUCACACAAAAUUAAUUCAAAUGAUAGAACUGAUAAACGACUAUCCUAAAAUUCCAAUCAAUCUUAUCUUAGUAGACAAUAUAUUAGCCUAUACUAUUUUUAUUCUAGAUUCAUCCUCAAAAAUAAACUUGCUCUAGAAAGUUAAAUUAGAUUGCGAAUGCAUAAAUUGCAGAGAGUAAUCAAAAUGAGAAGCCAAAUCAAUUCAAAUUUGAACUUGAAUUUCUAUCCACAACAAAUCAAAAAAUAGGAGUUAUACUGACUUCAUCUUGGCGACAGUGNUCCACAGGGUCUCGGGUCCAGAUCCGGAUCCAACUUUUUGUCUCUAAAUUAAAUUUAUAAAUCUUAAAUUAAUCCCCAAAUAAAUUAUACUUAUUGUCUAGAUUUUCAACAAUUAUUCAAAAUAAAUGAAUUAACCAUAUUCUAUAAAAAUAUUAUCGAAGUUUAAUAACAAUAAGAAUAUAAUAAUCAAGUACUAAAUAACAGUGGAACAAUGUGUCCUCUAUUUUACAUAGAAAAAAGAAAAUUAAUGUUAUCAAUAAUAAUAAUAAUAAUAAUAAUGAAAACUAAAAUUUAAAUUAAAAUAAAAGUAAAAUAUUAUCUUUAAUUGCAUUAUAUAUUUAUUUAUGAAAAGAGAUAUAUAGAUUAGUCAUAGAUAUUAGAUUAGAGUUAGAUAAAAAUAAAUAAAAUUAUAUAUAUUUUUAUAUAUAAAUGGAUCCAUGGACCGGAUCUGGACCGGAUCUGGGUCUCAGAUUUUUUGCUCCAGAUCCAGAUCCGGAAAUUAUAGGAAUAACCCAGAUCCGGUCCAGAUCCAUUGGGUCCAUUUUUCCUAAGGUCCAGAUCCUAAAAAAUGGAUAUGGAUCUGCGGAUCUGGACCGGGUCCAGGAUCCAUUGCCAUCUCUACCCUCCAGUCACGAUUGGAUGGAUAAAGAAUUUUCGUGCUUUCUAGGUGACCAUCUUAGGAGAAUGAACUAGAUGACCACCUACAGAUGCUUCUUGAAACAAAUCAUAGACAAGAUUACAUUUGCUUGUACCACGCCUCAAAUCCUUGAAUACACCCCACUGCAGAACCAAGGAGGGAGAUGAACAUGGACCGGAUAGUUGUCCCCACAGCCCACGACAUAGCUCAAGUUCUUGGGAUUCUUGCCAAGAAUGUAAUCAGCCUUCCAAAGAUUGGAUUUUUCAGUAGCAAAUUAAGCACAAACAAGCAAGAAGAAGAUGAUUGAUAUAUAUAUACAUGUGAUUUUGCAAAGAUGAGAAGAUCUCGAGGCUGGAGUUGGGCUUCCGGGCAUUUCACAACGCCUUUUGCCUUUGCAAGAUAUUCCGAAUGACGAAUGCAGCAGAGGCAGAGUACUGCAGAUUGUUCCACUCCCGUAGAUAGAGCAGUCCACCUAAAGAGGAAACAUAACAACAUUGUUCAAGGAUGGACGUUUCAUGCAAGAAUGAUGAUUGAAAAGGUUAAAAUCGAGGUGCUGCUACUGCUACUAACCAGGAGUCAUGGGCACAUUGUAGCUGUCAUUCUUCUGCAUGCAGGCGCAGGUGAAGUAAUCAGCCUUGGCUUGGUAUUGCUGCAAUGUGGAAGUGUAUGCUCCUCCACCUCCAUCACCUACACACAUUUCAGACCGAGAAGGUUACGAUUUUUUCGACAAAUUUACCUUAAAAGUAGGAAAGUAGGACUGUAGGAGCCAUUUUUUCUAGAUUUUGUGAUUACCUUUAAGAGAAGAAUCUGAACUCCAGCAUACUUGUUGUCCCAAGAGAACUCCUUCACAGCUCAUUAGUUUUGCUUAAGCUAGUAUUUCAUAUCCUAAAACUAUAUUCAUUUGCUUAAGCUAGUAUUACAUGGUGCGAGAGAGCAAAAUUUUGAAGAUUACAACUUUUCAACCAAAGCCCCCAUCAAAACAAGACAGUCAAAACAUGCAAUUCUUGCACAAAAAAUAAAAAAUAAACCAUCAAUAAAUCAAGAAUUACAACAAGGACUGCAGCAAACAAAUAAAAUUCCAUCAAUUACACCUAAACUCAAUAACCCCAUCACAAAUCAAAUCAAAACAAAACCGAUCAAAAACAGCAUCCACUUUCACGCAAAACCCACAAGAAACAGCAGAAGCAAGUAUCAUUAAACCAAGAAACAUCAAAGGGCUGUGAUAAAAAUUGAACCAUGAGAGUUCCUUUGCAAUGAUGACAUCUAAAACAAGCCUUGUGAUACACUUUGUUGUCAGCGGUGAGCUCAUCCACCAAGUACACUGUUGUCUGGGAAGAUCAAAGACGACGACUGCUGUUCAAGGGGAAUGGCAGAGCGUCCAAGGUCGUUUUUCUCUCUCAAUCGGUGACUGAUGUUCUAUGGGAAAGGUUGAAGACGACGGCGUUAUUGAAUGGGAAUGGUAAAUCACGUUGGCUAGGUCAUUUUUUGUGAAAUUAUUGGGGGUAGUAUUGAAAUUCAAAAAAAUAGUCUGAGGUGUUGAAUCCCUCCGGACACCCAAUCCGGCGCUCUUCGAUGGAUUAUUAACCAAGAGAUUUCAGGCCUUCAACUAUGGGCUAUCAGGCUCCAGCGGGCUGCCUUGCCUAAUAACAAAAGCUAGCAAACAUAAAAAUAACAUUAGACUAAAUAAUAGUCUCUUGCCUUACCAAAGCUAGCAAACAGGCCCUUAGUAAGAUUUGUUUAUUAUUAUUAUUAUUAUUUUUGAAAGGAACAAAUAGUACGAUUUAAUUGUUUAAGAUGGAGCAGCAAAAACAAAGACAUAAAUAGCCACAGAUUCCCGGAAUCAAACUCGCAAGUUCAAGAAAUCAACUACGACAAGCUCAAAACACUAGCAAAUACUUAGACAGGCCAUCCUAUCUAUUGGGGCGCGCUCCAGUGAGACCUCCUAUUUUUUGUGAGACACUAAGUACAAUGAAUAAAACAUAUAUACUGAUUAACAAGGGCCACAAGACAGUAUAUACUGAUGAAUAACGAAAUUUAAAAAAUUGGUAAUGAAUAAGACAUAUAAACUGAUGAACAAGGCAAUAUAUACCGAUGAAUAACGAAAUUUAAAAUAUUUCACUCCCUCCACAAUUCGAAUCCUGAGAAAAAAAAAUUCUCCCUCCAGAUACAAUAUCAGCCAUAGAAUUGAUAAAAUAAACGCACGAGAUCGUGCCUCGAUUAGGAUUUCUCUAAUACCAUCAUAUUAAUGAUAUAUGAAUCACACAAAAUUAAUUCAAAUGAUAGAACUGAUAAACGACUAUCCUAAAAUUCCAAUCAAUCUUAGUAGACAAUAUAUU